rnacentral:rRNA from 1 species
CCUACGGGGGGCUGUAGUGGGGAAUAUUGGACAAUGGGGGGAACCCUGAUCCAGCCAUGCCGCGUGUGUGAAGAAGGCCCUCGGGUUGUAAAGCACUUUCAGUGAGGAAGAACGCCUGGUGGUUAAUACCCAUCAGGAAAGACAUCACUCACAGAAGAAGCACCGGCUAACUCCGUGCCAGCAGCCGCGGUAAUACGGAGGGUGCGAGCGUUAAUCGGAAUUACUGGGCGUAAAGCGCGCGUAGGUGGCUUGAUAAGCCGGUUGUGAAAGCCCCGGGCUCAACCUGGGAACGGCAUCCGGAACUGUCAAGCUAGAGUGAAGGAGAGGAAGGUAGAAUUCCCGGUGUAGCGGUGAAAUGCGUAGAGAUCGGGAGGAAUACCAGUGGCGAAGGCGGCCUUCUGGACUGACACUGACCCUGAGGUGCGAAAGCGUGGGUAGCAAACAGGAUAAGAUACCCUAGUAGUC